rnacentral:rRNA from 1 species
UACGUAGGGGGCAAGCGUUGUCCGGAUUUAUUGGGCGUAAAGAGCUCGUAGGCGGUUUGGUAAGUCUGGUGUGAAAUCUCCACGCUCAACGUGGAGGGGCCACCCGAUACUGCCAUGACUGGAGUCCGGUAGAGGUGAGUGGAACUGCGAGUGUAGAGGUGAAAUUCGUAGAUAUUCGCAAGAACACCAGUGGCGAAGGCGGCUCACUGGCUCGGUACUGACGCUGAGGUGCGAAAGCGUGGGGAGCAAACAGG